AUUCCAUUAUCACUAUUUAAAGGUCAUUGAUUUUCUUUAUAAUUCUCUAAUUAGUAAGCAAAGACCGAAAUUGCAUUGGUCGGCAAUCGAGUACUCUCAGUUACGCUGAUCUACUCUCACGCUCUCAGUGCUUCCAUCCAGAAACAAAGUGGAUUAGUAUAGAAUUCUAUACAGCUAAGCAUAUGGCGGUGUGUCACCGACAGAUCACUUCAAGCACCAAACGAGCUGUAUAAGAGUUGAUGACAUCUGCCGCAAAAACCCAAAAGAGAGAUUUCAAUGGAGAAAUUUGCUGAAGAUCUGAAUAAUCGAUUUCUCAGCAUGCCUGAAGCCAUCAAAGGAAGCAAAUCAUCAUCUGCAGGAAAUGAAGAUGGAGAAGAAGCCAAGUCUGAAUCUAUGGAGAAAGUAAGUGUAGAAGAAAAGGCCAUCAACGACGCCAGAGGUCCGACACGCCCGACUCCACCCAAAGGUCCACCUCCGCAGACUGCUUGAACAAUUUUAUUUUGUUGUUUUUUAUUUUUAAUUUUCAGAAAACUAUUUCGUUGAAUUUAAAUUUUUAUUUCAUUGGAGAGAGAAAGAGAGAGCUAAAUAUAU